UACGGAGGGAGCUAGCGUUGUUCGGAAUUACUGGGCGUAAAGCGCACGUAGGCGGCUUUGUAAGUUAGAGGUGAAAGCCUGGAGCUCAACUCCAGAACUGCCUUUGAUACUGCAUGGCUUGAAUCCAGGAGAGGUGAGUGGAAUUCCGAGUGUAGAGGUGAAAUUCGUAGAUAUUCGGAAGAACACCAGUGGCGAAGGCGGCUCACUGGACUGGUAUUGACGCUGAGGUGCGAAAGCGUGGGGAGCAAACAGG
rnacentral:rRNA from 1 species